UUAGUAUCUUGAGAUAAAAGUCAGAGCCAAAGUGUUAGUCGUUCGGUUGUAUCUGACUCUUUGCAACACAAUGGACUGUAGCCCGCCAGGCACUUCUGUCCAUGGGAUUCUCCAGAAAAGAAUACUGGAGUGGGUUGCUGUUUCCUCCUCCAGGGGA